rnacentral:lncRNA from 1 species
ACGACAUUGAUGGCAUGAUACUGAGUGAUCUGAUUGACGAUCAAGCUGAGUUUCAAUCAAUGUUCCCGAAAUCUGGACAUCGUUUACACAUGAAGCGGGUCGUAAAAAGUCUAGCUGCGGAAUGUCACACGUUGACUUCGAAUCCUGAAAGUGGUUUCUGUGAUGUAAAUGUUUCAAGCCCAAGUCUAGAGAACUAAACAUCGACAAUAGAUGAACAGUCGUUAAGUAGCAUCAUGUCUCAUUUGGCCAAUAUUGAGAAUUGUGGUGCAUUUUCCAAUGGUGUUGAUAUCCUGAGCAUGCCGUCGCCAUGUAUGCAGUCCACGCCAACAACAAAUCCUGUUUGCAAAGAUGCUCUAAGUUCAUCCCAAGUUAGCACUCCAUCACCCAAGAUGAAAAAAACACCAAAGAUGGAAAAGUCGAAGGCAGCCGGGCUGCCGACUGAUAUGGGUUUUCCUGAGCGCUUUUCGAUGAAAGUGGAAAGGGCAAUUGAAGAAGGGAAUAUAUUGCCUGUGAGGAGACAACUGAUUGCUGAUAUAGCUCAAUUUUACCAAGGAUUGUCAAAUUCUCCCCAACAAGGAGACUGCAAAAGAAUUGCAUUGAAGACCUGUGAGAAGUUUCCCCAGCUAAAAGAUUCAACUGGAACAAAUUUUUGGGCAUCUGUUCAGAGACAGUUGAGCCAGUACUUUAGAAAUCAGCGAAGGUAUUCAAAAGUGAGACUGUCCACUGAUAGUAAGAAUGGAUGCCCGGCUUCAAAAUUGGCAAAGAUUAGUGACUCGAAAGUUGAUGAUGCAGUCACACAACAAAGAAAUUUAGAGCUGCUUAAAGACUACCAAGUUGGGUCGAUAUCGGGAAAGACAUUUGUCACACUGGUGGAAGACACGUAUCAGGCACGAAGGAAGUUUAUAACUUCAUAGGCCUCUUCCAGUGCAGAGAUUCUGGAGAAAUGCCCUUAUCUUGGAAAAGCAGAGAAUGUUAGAAAGGAGAUGAAACGGGUCAUGCAGGGAUUCUCCUACCCUGAAACUCUAAAGAAUUUCGAAGCUGCAUUAAAGCAAGUUAUAGGAGAUGACAACAAGAUGACAAAACUUGAUAAUGGGGAAGUAUACAACGCUGUUGUAGCGAUUGAGAAGAAAACAAUGCGAAAAGGCCAAUCAGCCAUAAAGUUGAAAGAUCGGUCAUGUAAGCCUGACCAGCUUUUUAAAGACAAAAUGGUGGAUUUCAAGCUUGUGUUGGUUGGGUCUCCAGAUGAUAUACUGCAAGCCUUCAUUGCUGGUGAGAAUCAAUGCUUCAUGGAAACCUCAAAUA